GGCUCGAUAGCUUAGUUGGUAAAAAAGCACUUGUCUAGCGAAUAAGGGUCGUGAGUUCAAAUAUCACCUGAGCUG
rnacentral:tRNA from 1 species